rnacentral:rRNA from 1 species
AGAUUGAACGCUGGCGGCGUGCUUAACACAUGCAAGUCGAGCGGUAACGCGGGAGCAAUCCUGGCGACGAGCGGCGAACGGGUGAGUAAUGCUUGGGAAUCUGCCCAUUAGUGGGGAACAACCAGCCGAAAGGUUGGCUAAUACCGCAUACGCCCUACGGGGGAAAGCGGGGGAUCGUAAGACCUCGCGCUAAUGGAUGAGCCCAAGUCGGAUUAGCUUGUUGGUAGGGUAACGGCCUACCAAGGCGACAAUCCGUAGCUGGUCUGAGAGGACGACCAGCCACACUGGGACUGAGACACGGCCCAGACUCCUACGGGAGGCAGCAGUGGGGGAAUAUUGGACAAUGGGGGCAACCCUGAUCCAGCGACGCCGCGUGUGUGAAGAAGGCCUGCGGGUUGUAAAGCACUUUUAGUGGGGAUGAAAAGCCUAGGGUUAACACUCUGGGUCUUGACCUACCACAGAAAAGCACCGGCUAACUCUGCGCCAGCAGCCGCGGU